GCCCGUAUAGUAUAGUGGUUAUUAUUUCUCACUCGUACUUUGCUUCGGCGAGUUGAUGAGAGGGUCCCUAGUUCAAAUCUGGGUGCGGGCA